rnacentral:misc_RNA from 1 species
AAUUACUUUAUACCCCAUUAGGUUUGACCAUAAUUACAAGCAUGUCCCUGUGAUUUUAGAUUCGAAUUAUGAAAUCCUUCUAUUUUCAUUUUAAAUUCAAAUUAUUACAUCCCUCUAUUAUACAAAAAUUAGCUCUAUUAUUUUUGUUUUUGAGAUUCCAAUUAAAAGCAUUUAUUAAAAAAAGCUCCAACAUAGUUAAACAAAACCAAUAAUUUUUUUAAACUAGAAAAUUUUAUUUUAUAGAUUACAUCAACAAGCUAAAGAAAAUGAUGACAAAUAUUAAAAGGAAAAAGAAAAGAAAAAAACAAUUGAGCCAAGAAAUCAUUAUAUUAUAUUUUAAGUAUUUGUCCACGUGGUGUUCUAAAAAAAAGAUAUUUCUAUUUUAAAAACUAUAAAACUUUAUUGUUAAAAAAUUAAUUUUAUAUGAUAGAUUGAUAUUAGAAGCCUUUUAAAUUUAAAAUUCUAUGUUAUUCCUGUUAUAAUUUUAAUUUUAAAAUUAAUUGUUUAAACAAAUUAAACAAUGCUUGCUGAAACUCACUUGAAGCAUGAGAUUACCACUGUUUAAAAAUCAAAUCCAAAGAACUUAAAAAAAAGGACAAGAAUAAAAGAAAAAAGGUAGGUAAAAGGAGAAAUGUUAGAGAAAGAAAAAGAGGAAAAGAGUAUAACGGGGAGGGUUAUUUUAGAGAUUUCACUAAGGUUGUCUAACAGAAAAAUACUCUAAAAUCUUAACAGAUGCAAUAUACUGUAAAUAAAUUAAUAAAAUCAAAAUACAAGGAUUUCAUAGUUCUAAUUUAAAACCUUAGGGACCUACUGGUAAUUAUAGUGAAAUUCAGGGGGUAUGAAGUACUUAACCCUAGGUGUUAAGUCUGUAAGAGAAAGACUUAAAGUUAAAAGUUGUUCUUUUAAUGACUUGCUGUCAUGUGAAGUUUGAAUUUUUAAUAUGAA